GCAGAACGCGAAGAACCUUACCCACCUUUGACAUGUACGGAAGUUGCCAGAGAUGGCUUCGUGCUCGAAAGAGAGCCGUAACACAGGUGCUGCAUGGCUGUCGUCAGCUCGUGUCGUGAGAUGUUGGGUUAAGUCCCGCAACGAGCGCAACCCUUGUCAUUAGUUGCUACGAAAGGGCACUCUAAUGAGACUGCCGGUGACAAACCGGAGGAAGGUGGGGAUGACGUCAAGUCCUCAUGGCCCUUAUAGGUGGGGCUACGCACGUCAUACAAUGGCCGGUACAAAGGGCAGCCAACCCGCGAGGGGGAGCUAAUCCCAUAAAGCCGGUCGUAGUCCGGAUCGCAGUCUGCAACUCGACUGCGUGAAGUCGGAAUCGCUAGUAAUCGUGGAUCAGCAUGUCACGGUGAAUACGUUCCCGGG
rnacentral:rRNA from 1 species